rnacentral:rRNA from 1 species
AUUGAACGCUAGCGGGAUGCCUUACACAUGCAAGUCGAACGGAGUGGCGAACGGGUGAGUAAUGUAUCGGAACGUGCCCAGUAGCGGGGGAUCACUACGCGAAAGCGUAGCUAAUACCGCAUACUAUUGGAGCGGCCGCUAUGGUAUCAGCUAGUGGGUGGGGUAACGGCUCACCAAGGCGACGAUCCGUAGCUGGUCUGAGAGGACGACCGGCCACACUGGGACUGAGACACGGCCCAGACUCCUACGGGAGGCAGCAGUGGGGAAUUUUGGGCAAUGGGGGAAAGUCUGACCCAGCAACGCCGCGUGGGAGAUGAAGGUCUUCGGAUUGUAAAGCACUGUUGUCAGGGAAGCGGUACCUGCAGAGAAAGCACCGGCUAACUACGUGCCAGCAGCCGCGGUAAUUC